UAGGUACUCUUUAAGAGUGUAUUUACGCACACACACACACACACACAGUUUUGGAUAUGCAGUUGUAAAAUCUGCAGUUGCCGAUCCGCAAGUUCCAAUUUUGCAACUGCAGAUUUUACAACUUCAAAUCUGCAGUGCAUCCUGUGUGUGUGUGUGUGUGUGUGUGUGUGUGUGUUUGGCUUUAGCAAGCAGGUCCUGUACCAAGCUCUCGUCUUGAAAGCAGGAAGAAGACAUAAGAUCUGUGGAAUGGAUAAAGCUGCAGGAGACCAGGGUAUAGAGAUAUACCUAACAUAAAUAUAAUUUUUUUAUUUUUUUUAUUUUUUUUUAAACCUGCUACAACAAAAUGUUGGUGUAUUUUUUACUUAUUUAUUUUUUAGCCGGAUUGCACCUUUAAUUGCUGACCAUAAGGAGAAACACUGCACCUAGGUAAUCUUAACAGGAUACCUCUUCAAAGCAGUGUCAGGUCAGCUGAUGAACAAGAGUUUGAUCAUUUGUUGAAUGAUCGCUGGCCCUAUUACACUGGAUGAUCUCACCCUGUUGGGCCAAUAAUUGCUCUGCAUAAAUCCUUAGCUUCUUCU